rnacentral:rRNA from 1 species
AUACGGAGGAUGCGAGCGUUAUCCGGAUUUAUUGGGUUUAAAGGGAGCGUAGGUGGGAUAUUAAGUCAGCUGUGAAAGUUUGGGGCUCAACCUUAAAAUUGCAGUUGAUACUGGUUUCCUUGAGUACGGUACAGGUGGGCGGAAUUCGUGGUGUAGCGGUGAAAUGCUUAGAUAUCACGAAGAACUCCGAUCGCGAAGGCAGCUCACCGGGCCGGAACUGACACUGAUGCUCGAAAGUGCGGGUAUCAAACAGGAUUAGAUUCCCUGGUAGUCCGCACAGUAAACGAUGAAUACUCGCUGUUUGCGAUACACGGUAAGCGGCCAAGCGAAAGCGUUAAGUAUUCCACCUGGGGAGUACGCCGGCAACGGUGAAACUCAAAUGAAUUGACGGGG